rnacentral:lncRNA from 1 species
AUGUUUUUUGAAGGAACAUGGCCUGGGGAGGUCUUCCGUGAGAAGUUCGCGCCUUUUCCAAAGGUGUCUUCGCUGUCUUCUUUUGGGGAAACCGACUCCACUCUGCCUUCUGUGUGCCUGCCUGUGGUCCCCAACAGCAGGAAGACCUGCGGCCACCGUGCAGAGGAUGCUGUGACGCUCACCGUGUUUUCUUUUCUGUCAUUGCAGGUGGACGGGACAGACGGUGAAAGCUUGUGGAGCACUGUGAGUCUGUGUGGCAGCGUCCACGAUGAAGAUGACACAGACUCGGUGGUGGAGAGCAGCAACAGCCACCAGGACGAGGAGGCUGCAGAAUCUUGCUUUGGGAGGAAAGGAUCUUGCUUCAGGAGCCUGAGGAUAAGUUUGUCCUCUGCGAGCUUGGCUAGACUAAUCCCCUGGUGGCCGCACAACAGGGUGCACCCAGCCACUGAGCCAGAUGAAGGUACUGUGGAACCUGACUCAGUACACUCAGGCAUGAACGAUGAUUCUGGUUCAUUCAGUGCUCCAGAUUUCAGAACAAACUCUACAGGUGCUAAGCCGUAUCUCUCUUCUAGUGCAUGGUGCAAAUUCAAAUGAACUAACUCGGAGUUCCGGUCGUGGCGCAGUGGUUAAGGACUCCGACUAGGAACCAUGAGGUUGCGAGUUGGAUCUCUGGCCUUGCUCAGUGGGUUAAGGAUCCGGGGUUGCCGUGAGCUGUGGUGUUGGCCACAGAUGCGGUUCGAAUCCCGAGUUGCAGUGGCUGUGGCGUAGGCCAGUGGCUACAACUCUGAUUAGACCCCUCUCCUGGGAGCCUGCGCAUGCCAAGGGAAGCGGGCCUAGAAAAGGCAAAAUGACCAAAACCCAACCAACCAACCAAAACCCAAAUUGAAUCACUCCCUGGGCACUUUCACAACCAUGAAAAUAAUGGUUCGUUUAAACUCAACAUUUGGUUCCUGGUUAAUAGCAGAGAUGCCCUCACUCAUGUUUUGACAUUUACUAAUAGUUGAUAUUUGGGCUAGUUGUGCUGGAUCUCUCCAUGGAACCACAUUUCCCAACUUGAAAACAAUACUAGACGCGAUUUAGAACAAGGUCAUAUGAACAAGACAUGGUGAACAGAUAUCACAGAGAGCUCCCGUAAGCCAUUCCUCCAAUGUCCACCAUUGACAACGUCCAGCACGGAAUGGGGAACAUGUGGUGCCCUGAGCGGCAAAAGAGUCAUACCAUUUUAGUCAGUGAGAAGUUCCCCGUUUACAUUCAGAUUCAUUUUUGUGCUGUGACGUUAGUUGAGGUUGGACACCUGCACAAUGUUAGGAGUCCCUGGUAUGUUAUUACCAUAGAGGACGUGUACACUGCCGUUUGUAGCAGCGGGUUAUUCCCAAUAGCCAAAAGGUGAAACCACUCCCAAAAGACAAGAAGAGAUCAGGGGACAGAUCCAAUGUGCCGUGUACCCAGAAGAGAACAGUAUUCUGCCAGAAACAAAAUUAAACUU